AUGACCCCCCCCCCCCACACACACACACACACGCCCCCCGCGAAAUUGCCUUUUCGCCACUUUAGCUGGGCAAGUUGUGUCCCCCCGGGCCCGGCCAGUCCUGUCCCGUCCCGUCCGGUCCCGUCCCGUCCCGUCCCGUCCCGUCCUGUCCCGUCCCGUCCUGUCCGGUCCCGUCCGGUCCCGUCCCGUCCCGAACUGUCCGGUCCUGUCCUGUCCCGUCCCGUCCGGUCCUGUCCCGUCCCGAACUGUCCCGUCCCGCCCUGUCCCGUCCCGCCCUGUCCCGUCCCGUCCUGUCCCGUCCCGUCCCGUCCCGUCCCGUCCCGUCCCGUCCGGUCCGGUCCUGUUCGGUCCCGCCCGGUCCCGCCCGUCCUGUCCCGUCCCGUCCUGUCCCGUCCCGUCCCGUCCCGUCCCGUCCCGUCCCGUCCGGUCCGGUCCUGUCCCGUCCUGUUCGGUCCCGCCCGGUCCCGCCCGGUCCGGUCCCUACCUGGGCGGUGCGGGCGGGGCUGCGGGGGCGGCGGGCGGGGGCCCCACUUGGAGGGCGGUGCUCAUCGCGGCAGGCCGGCCCCGGGGGGGGGGCGGGGGACCCGGGGGGGGGGGGGGUCCGGCGGCGGAGCACAGCGCACGGAGCAGUGCACGGAGCCCGGGGGGGGGGGGGCAGUGCACGGAGCUGGGGGGGCGGGGGAUGGGGGAACAGUGCAAGGAGCUGGGGAUGGAGGGGCGGGGAGCAGUGCACGGAGCUGGGAGGGAUGGGGAAAGCAGUGCACGGAGCUGGGGGGAGCAGGGCACGGGGAUGGGCGGGGGGAAGGGGCAGUGCACGGAGCUGGGGGGGAUGGGGGAAGCAGUGCACGGAGCUGGGGGGAUGGGGAAGAAGUGCACGGAGCGGGGGCGGGGGGGUGGGAGAGCAGUGCACCGGGCGGUGGGGGGGAGGGGGGGCGGGAUGCGGGGCCGGAGCCGGGAUGGGGGAUGCCAGUGCGCGGGAUGCGAGGCCGGGAGGGAGGGAGGGGGCAGGGAUGA
rnacentral:lncRNA from 1 species